UGUUUAAGUACUAUUUGGUUUCCGGUUUUUGAUUGAUAUUGUAAUUGAUAUAAUUUAUUUUUUUGUAUGUUUAUUUUUUAGGACACAUCUUCAGUAGUGGACCUCAGGAUCACCGGAUGUUUCGGCCAUUAUCGCUAGACAUCCUCACCUGAGGGAGGCCCUGCUGAAGCUGAUCGAGCCCCGGAGUGUGUCCCGUAGCCAGUUGACUGGAGUUGUAACUGUCAUUCUUCCAUUAAAUGGGUCCAGGACUAAAUCACUCACUCACCAGAAAGCGGCUAUUGUAUUGGAACAAACUGACUGAGUCCUUUGUACAUUGUCCUUUGUACAGCAGUCAGAGGUAUGUUUUAAAUUUGAUUUUCUCUGCAUCAGGAGUAGUAUAUCUGUAUUGAAUUAUUCAAGAAUAUGUAGACUCAGUGCUUUUUAUGUACUGAGCUAUUACCAGACUGAAUAUCUGUCUGAACCCUGUUCAGACUAAAAAUGGUCUGUAUUAGUGUUGGCAUGUUGCUUCAGGUAGCAGUGAGAUGAUGAAAUAUGAUACAAGAAGUCCAGUUCGAGGGAUAGAUCCAUGCGUUUUGAGACUAUUCAGAUGCCAAAACACUGCAUAGCACUUUAUAAUACUGCAAGUCAGUAUUUUAUAAUCCUGGCGAGUUUGUGAAGUCUGGAAACAUGACCGAAAAUAUUUUUAUAUAUAUAAUUCUCAAACACUAGCUUGGGCAAUGAUGGUUGUUUAAAAAAAAAAAAAAAAAAAGUUAAAAAAAAAAUAGAACCAUCAUAAUUAUAUUAUUUUUUGGAAAUUACAUUAGUCGAACUGUUACACUGUUUUGUGCUUGAUGUUUGUGUGAUGUAUAAUUAUUUGUGUAAUAAUUAUUACUUUUUCAUUUUCAGUCUAGGAGCAAAAUAUUCAUGAACAUGAGAUGCACUCUGGCCCUUCGUAGUCUUCCGGUGUAUCAGCGCGAGGGGUCUCUGAGUUCUUCAAGACCAGCAGUGUAACUUCUCAGUCAAUAUGUCAAUAUCUAUCAGUACAGUGUUGACAUAACAUAUUGUAUGGGAAACAAACUUGAAUGCCUCCUGUAGCAUUCUCAAAAUUUAAGUAGAUUCAAGGAUAGGUUUGGACUUUUUCAAGUCUAUCUCAAUACAAUAUUCAAAUGUCAAAUGUAUAUCGACAAAGUUAUUAGUGGGUGGAAAUUGUUCGUCCUAUCUCCAUAGAAGCCGUAAAGCAGUCCCUUCCUAUCAGGUAGGAUGAGUCUCUAACCGGUCUGCAGAAUUACAUUGAGUGUGUUUUGCCAGUUAUCAAAUGGCUCCACAUGAUCACAGCUGAUGGAGGCUACUGUCCAGUGAGAGUUUGAUUCUAACUGAUGCUACCUGGAUGAGAUGUCCCAAACUGAUUUACUGCACAAUAGUUGAUGAUUCAUAUGAUGUUCACUGUCUGUGUAGAUUAGUCACUGCAUAAAUGCCUAUCUAUAGAUGCCUGUUUUUUGUCUAGCUGUCAACAUAUCCACAUUUCUAUUUAUUUUUUGAGACAUUGAGUGUACAAACCUAUUGAUGAGGAGGUUUACUCAGUGUGAAACCUGCUGGUCAUUUUUUGUAAAUACUUUUGGCAUGCUUGCUGUUGGUUCUAUGCCACUGAUCUCUGUAAUUAUUGAGAGCUCAUAGUACCCUAUUACCCCACUAGAAAACUGCGCUCCCAGAAUGCAGGCUUACUGGUGGUUCCUACAG